CCCUUAGAUGUUCUGGGCCGCACGCGCGCUACACUGACGGAUUCAACGAGCUUACAACCUUGGCCGAAAGGUCUGGGUAAUCUCCAAAAUCCGUCGUGAUGGGGAUAGAUUAUUGCAAUUAUUUAUCUUCAACGAGGAAUGCCUAGUAAGCGCAAGUCAUCAGCUUGCGUUGAUUACGUCCCUGCCCUUUGUACACACCGCCCGUCGCUCCUACCGAUUGAAUGGUCCGGUGAAGCGUUUGGACUAUGGUUUUCUGAUGGUCCGCCGUUGGAUUACCGUGGGAAGUUCGUUAAACCUUAUCAUUUAGAGGAAGGAGAAGUCGUAACA
rnacentral:rRNA from 1 species